UUUCCCAUUAAUUUGCUGUUCUAGUCUGUCAUAGCAGUUAUACACACGGGAUAAUAUUGGGCCAUUGUACAUGGAGAUGAAGUGUGUUUUGCCCCUCCUGCAUGGUCCAGACAUUG
ensembl:snoRNA Gm24615 small nucleolar RNA SNORA20